AUUUUAUAACUAAUUUGUUUGUCAUACAAUGUAGGUCCCAUUGGCAGUUAAUGGUAAUCAUUCCUAAGGAAUACACCGUGGUGUGGUUUUGUUCACUACAUCGAAAACUAAGCCACGAAAUUAAAUGCCAAUUACAAGGAAUCGUGUCUGGAGCUAAUAUUUUAAGUGGAAGAGCCAGAUCAUCAAAGUCAUUGCAUUUCAUAUACCCUAAGUGUAAUAAGCAACAAGACUCGUUUGAAUGUGGCUAUUACAUCA